rnacentral:rRNA from 1 species
UACGUAGGUGGCGAGCGUUGUCCGGAUUUACUGGGCGUAAAGAGCGCGCAGGCGGCUGGUCAAGUCCGAUGUGAAAGCUCCCGGCUUAACUGGGAAAUUGCAUCGGAAACUGAUCGGCUGGAAGGUGGGAGAGGGUAGCGGAAUUCCCGGUGUAGUGGUGAAAUGCGUAGAUAUCGGGAGGAACACCAAUGGCGAAGGCAGCACUCUGGGACGUGACUGACGCUGAGACGCGAAAGCGUGGGGAGCAAACAGG